GGUAGGGUGGCCGAGUGUUAGGCGGCGGUUUGUAGCACCGUGUACAGAGGUUUAAUCCCUCUCUCUAUCA
rnacentral:tRNA from 1 species